UUGGCUUAGCUUGGUUAAUUAUUUUUAUGAUAACUUAAACCAAUUGAUCACAGUUGAUUAUGAUAUUCAGCUUUAGGUAAAGGUACUUAUGUACUUUUUUUUGAAACGUAGAAUUUUCUGCACGAUAUUAUCGAUUCCAAAAAAUACAUUACAGAUCUAUUCCUAUGCAGUGUCAGUUCCUACAGAAAUAUAAAAUAAAUAUAAGCUUCUUCAGUUAUCUGCAAAACUCCAAUGACCCGUCCGAAUCGCAAUACACAGGUCAUCUAAUGGAUUCACU